rnacentral:lncRNA from 10 species
AAAGGAAGUGCAUGGAACAGCAACGCAGAGCAAACUAUUAGCAACCUGCCCACUGUACGUGGCUUUCCUGUGUCACAGCAAAACUGGAAAAAGACAGCGGAGCAACACGCACUGCAUGUAGAUACAACAACAGGUCUGUGAAGGCACAUUUGUCAUGAUUUCCUCUAGAGAGCUGGAAGAAUCCCAUGAUCUGCAUGUAAGAAAGCUCCAACCAGCUCUGCGAGUCAGUGAUUUGCCUGUCAUGCCUGGCAGCGAAUGAAUGAGCAGAGGAAAGACAAGAUGCAAGUUUCACUAAUUUUCCC